UCUGGGGUAUGGCAUAAGUACACAGAAGGCAUCACCUCAGA
rfam:Chlorocebus sabaeus isolate 1994-021 chromosome 11, whole genome shotgun sequence.